rnacentral:rRNA from 1 species
AUUGAACGCUGGCGGCAUGCCUUACACAUGCAAGUCGAACGGCAGCACGGGGGCAACCCUGGUGGCGAGUGGCGAACGGGUGAGUAACAUAUCGGAACAUACCCUAGAGUGGGGGAUAACGUAGCGAAAGUUACGCUAAUACCGCAUACGAUCUAAGGAUGAAAGUGGGGGAUCUUCGGACCUCAUGCUCAUGGAGUGGGCCGAUAUCUGAUUAGCUAGUUGGUGAGGUAAAGGCUCACCAAGGCGACGAUCAGUAGCUGGUUUGAGAGAACGACCAGCCACACUGGAACUGAGACACGGUCCAGACUCCUACGGAGGCAGCAGUGGGGAAUUUUGGGACAAUAGGGGCAACCCUGAUCCAGCAAUGCCGCGUGAGUGAAGAAGG